rnacentral:rRNA from 1 species
GACGAACGCUGGCGGCGUGCUUAACACAUGCAAGUCGAGCGGUAAGGCCCCUUCGGGGGUACACGAGCGGCGAACGGGUGAGUAACACGUGAGCAAUCUGCCCUUCACACGGGGAUAACUUCGGGAAACCGGAGCUAAUACCCGAUACGACCACCUCGGGCAUCCGAUGGUGGUGGAAAGCUCCGGCGGUGAAGGAUGAGCUCGCGGCCUAUCAGCUUGUUGGUGGGGUAACGGCCCACCAAGGCAACGACGGGUAGCCGGCCUGAGAGGGUGACCGGCCACACGGGGACUGGGACACGGCCCAGACUCCUACGGGAGGCAGCAGUGGGGAAUAUUGGACAAUGGGCGAAGGCCUGAUCCAGCAACGCCGCGGGAGGGAUGACGGCCUUCGGGUUGUAAACCUCUUUCAGCAGGGACGAAGCGCAAGUGACGGUACCUGCAGAAGAAGCACCGGCCAACUACGUGCCAGCCGCCGCCGUAAGAC